UAAACUGAAGAGUUUGAUCAUGGCUCAGAUUGAACGCUGGUGGUAUGCUUAACACAUGCAAGUCGAACGGUAACAUUGGAGCUUGCUCCAGAUGACGAGUGGCGGACGGGUGAGUAACGCGUAGGAAUCUGCCUAGUAGUGGGGGACAACAUGUGGAAACGCAUGCUAAUACCGCAUACGCCCUACGGGGGAAAGCGGGGGAUCUUCGGACCUCGCGCUAUUAGAUGAGCCUGCGUUAGAUUAGCUAGUUGGUGGGGUAAUGGCUCACCAAGGCGACGAUCUAUAGCUGGUCUGAGAGGACGAUCAGCCACACUGGGACUGAGACACGGCCCAGACUCCUACGGGAGGCAGCAGUGGGGAAUAUUGGACAAUGGGCGCAAGCCUGAUCCAGCAAUACCACGUGUGUGAAGAAGGCCUGAGGGUUGUAAAGCACUUUCAAUUGGGAGGAAAACAGCUGGGUUAAUAGCCCUGCUCUUGACAUUACCUUUAGAAGAAGCACCGGCUAACUCCGUGCCAGCAGCCGCGGUAAUACGGAGGGUGCGAGCGUUAAUCGGAAUUACUGGGCGUAAAGCGUACGUAGGCGGUUAUUUAAGUCAGAUGUGAAAGCCCCGGGCUCAACCUGGGAACUGCAUUUGAUACUGGAUGACUAGAGUUUGAUAGAGGAGAGUAGAAUUUCUGGUGUAGCGGUGAAAUGCGUAGAGAUCAGAAGGAAUACCAGUGGCGAAGGCGGCUCUCUGGAUCAAAACUGACGCUGAGGUACGAAAGCGUGGGUAGCAAACAGGAUUAGAUACCCUGGUAGUCCACGCCGUAAACGAUGUCAACUAGCCGUUGGGUCCAAUUAAGGACUUAGUGGUGCAGCUAACGCAUUAAGUUGACCGCCUGGGGAGUACGGCCGCAAGGCUAAAACUCAAAUGAAUUGACGGGGGCCCGCACAAGCGGUGGAGCAUGUGGUUUAAUUCGAUGCAACGCGAAGAACCUUACCUACCCUUGACAUACUAAGAACUUUCCAGAGAUGGAUUGGUGCCUUCGGGAACUUAGAUACAGGUGCUGCAUGGCUGUCGUCAGCUCGUGUCGUGAGAUGUUGGGUUAAGUCCCGUAACGAGCGCAACCCUUAUCCUUAUUUGCCAGCACGUAAUGGUGGGAACUCUAAGGAGACUGCCGGUGAUAAACCGGAGGAAGGUGGGGACGACGUCAAGUCAUCAUGGCCCUUAUGGGUAGGGCUACACACGUGCUACAAUGGCCGGUACAGAGGGCUGCAAACUCGCGAGAGUAAGCGAAUCUCAGAAAGCCGGUCUUAGUCCGGAUUGCAGUCUGCAACUCGACUGCAUGAAGUCGGAAUCGCUAGUAAUCGCGAAUCAGAAUGUCGCGGUGAAUACGUUCCCGGGCCUUGUACACACCGCCCGUCACACCAUGGGAGUGGGUUGCAAAAGAAGUGGGUAGACUAACCUUCGGGAGGUCGCUCACCACUUUGUGAUUCAUGACUGGGGUGAAGUCGUAACAAGGUAGCCCUAGGGGAACCUGGGGCUGGAUCACCUCCUUA
rnacentral:rRNA from 1 species